rnacentral:rRNA from 1 species
AUUGAACGCUGGCGGCAGGCUUAACACAUGCAAGUCGAGCGGGGUGAUGGUGCUUGCACUAUCACUUAGCGGCGGACGGGUGAGUAAUGCUUAGGAAUCUGCCUAUUAGUGGGGGACAACAUCUCGAAAGGGAUGCUAAUACCGCAUACGUCCUACGGGAGAAAGCAGGGGAUCACUUGUGACCUUGCGCUAAUAGAUGAGCCUAAGUCGGAUUAGCUAGUUGGUGGGGUAAAGGCCUACCAAGGCGACGAUCUGUAGCGGGUCCGAGAGGAUGAUCCGCCACACUGGGACUGAGACACGGCCCAGACUCCUACGGGAGGCAGCAGUGGGGAAUAUUGGACAAUGGGGGGAACCCUGAUCCAGCCAUGCCGCGUGUGUGGAGAAGGCCUUAUGGUUGUAAAGCACUUUAAGCGAGGAGGAGGCUCUUUUGGUUAAUACCCAAGAUGAGUGGACGUUACUCGCAGAAUAAGCACCGGCUAACUCUGUGCCAGCCGCCGCAGUAA